rnacentral:rRNA from 1 species
CCUACGUGAGGCAGCAGUGGGGAAUAUUGCACAAUGGGGGAAACCCUGAUGCAGCGACGCCGCGUGAGUGAAGAAGUAAUUCGUUAUGUACAGCUCUAUCAGCAGGGAAGAAAAUGACGGUACCUGAGUAAGAAGCCCCAGCUACCUACGUGCCAGCAGCCGCGGUAAUACGUGGGGGGAAAGCGUUAUCACGAUUUACUGGGUGUAACGGGAGCGUAGACGGCAGUGCAAGUACGGAGUUAAAGGCGGGGGCUCAACCCCAGGACUGCUCUGGAAACUGUACGGCUAGAGUGCAGGAGAGGUAAGUGGAAUUCCUAGGGUAGCGGUGAAAUGCGUAGAUAUUAGGAGGAACACCAGUGGCGAAGGCGGCUUACUGGACUGUAACUGACGUUGAGGCUCGAAAGCGUGGGGAGCAAACAGGAUUAGAUACCCUAGUAGUC